rnacentral:lncRNA from 1 species
AGUGUGCCUUUCGUUUCCUGAGAGUGAAGAAUGCUGGCUGGGAUCACUUCCCUCGUCUCAGGCCUGCCGACCUGUCGGCACCAAAGGUUGGUCCCUGCCCCUUCCACCAGGCUCGCAGCAGUGUGACUCAGUUUCCUCCCUUGGCAGGUGGGUGGGAAGCCACAGAGAGGAUGCUUAGGGUGGGGAGCCUCCUGGCUCCUGACCCUGCCUGCACCCCACGGACACCGAGGGGGAUGAUGUCAGCUGGAGGCCCAGCACUACCUGCACCCCUCGGGUAACCACUCCCCUGUUUUCAUCUGUACGUUUACCAGCACUCAGCCCCUGAACACAUGCCUGGCAAGGGGUGUCACACACUAGAGUUACACGCUAAGUCUCCCUCUGUGUCCAACUUCAGUCACUCACCAUUACUGGAGAGCCGGCCCCGCUGACGUGCUAUCCUCGGUCACUCAUUCACUUCCAUGGCCGGGGUGCCUCCCGUGCAGUGACCCCAUCAUGACUGCUACCUCCUUCCACAGCUGGGCACUCGGUCUGGUUCCAGGUUUGGCUGUCACCGAUGGCACCGCGUACAUGUGCUGGUACAUGUGCACACACACGUCAGAAUUUAGAUUUCUUAGUCACCUGUGUGCACGUGUUCGACUUGGCCACGCUAUCACACAGUCUCCCACAUUCCUGCUGGAGCGUGUGCUCCUGUCCUUGCCAGCAUCACCGGGUGGGCUCUGUAUCAAUGCUCAGGACCACAUGGGACCCUGGCCAAGGGCAGGAGGGCUUUGCCCUGGGAGCAGCUGAACAUAGAGGGUCAGGACAGCAAGGGCGCCGCGUGGGAGGGGGGCGGGAGCGGGGUGGGGACUUCCAUGUACGUUAAAGGGGAAGGACAUGGGUGGGGAUGUUACGGAUGUCGACGCAGCCUCCCUCACUAACGCAGUGACCUCAGCCGAGUUUCUCUGUUCUUGCCCUCUCGUGCUGCGUGCUGCACAUGCACCUGUUGCCUCGACACCCACAACCCUGCAGAGCCCGCGAAUAGCUUGCAGGGGCUGCUGUCACACAAGCCCGAGCCUAGAGGCUUAGAGACGCUCAGAUGUGCUCUCUCGCAGUUCUGAGGGUCAGAAGUCUGGCCUGGGCCCCCUGGGGAUGAAGGCAUUAGGGAGGCUCUGAGCGAGAAUCCCCUUCCUUGCGUUUCCAGCUCCUGGAGACACCGCAUUGCCUGACUGUGGCUCCCUCCUUGCCCUCACAACCUGCGUGGCAGGUGGAGCUCCCCCCUCCCCUCCGACCUGCACCACUCUGACUCCCGCUUCUGCUUUUGGGAUCCUAGUGAUGGUGGCGGACCCACCUGGUGGACCCACACUACUCUCUCCAUCUUGGGGUCAGCUGAUUAGCAAGCAACUAAUCAUCUUCAGCAGCAAUUCUCUUUUGCCAUGUGACCCACCGUAUCCACAGGCACAGGGGACUAGGGCGUGGGUGUCUCGGGGCGGGGGGCACUACCAACCCCUCCACGGUCUACUUAUUGUUCUUGUUAUGCAGAUGGAGAAACUGAGGCUCUUCCUGAUGAAGCGGCUUGCCUAGAACCACACAGCAGGAUAGGGCUCUGGCGAGAUCCCUGGACCCUCCAUGUGGAGGCUGAGGGACAGGGGUCCCCCGACACCUGCAGGCCCCGCAGGCCUGAGCAGGGCUGCGCACUUCCACAUUUUCACUCCCCAUGACCCCAGGGCUCAUCCCAUUCCGGCGGCCUGAGCAGGUGCGGAAACCACACGACCCCCACCGCAUUCCCAGACCCCGCUUCACAGAUGGGCUCCCACCAGACACCCGCCACUCCCUUUGCAAGCCAGUUUCUGUUCAUUUAAUCAGACGCCUUGCAUGUUGAGUGGAGACCAGCUGGAAACAUAGCGGGAGGUAAAAAUAAGAAACCAGUGAGACUCCUGGACCCAAACAAAUGGUUCUUACAGGCUUUUAUUUUCCAUUCUGGAGGCUCACCAGCUAGAAGCCCCCGCCUCUUUGAUGACUGCUGUUCUGCCCGUGGGCCCCCCGGGCGUGGGUUUGGGAGUGAAAGAUGCACUCAGCAUUUUGGGUGGGAUGUAAGAUCUGGAUGGAGCAAACUGAAAUGAUAGAACACAUGCCUCGGUGAGAUGGUGCUUCCACUAGAGAUGAUGCACAUUUGUGCCACCCCGACCUCAAAGGGACCAGAAUCUCAGGGCUGGAAGGGCCUUUGGACACAGGCCCUGGAACUCUACGCCGUCUGUGUGUAGGGGAGGACUCGGAGCCCCAAGGGGCCCCUGGCCAGCCGGCACCACACGCUGAGGGUGGUUCAUCAAGCCCUGAGCCCAACGGCCGUGCACUGCUCAGGGCCCUGGAUGCACGUGGAUGCGCCCUGGGAGACUCUCCUCCCGUCUCCCUUUCCCGUCUCUCAUGGCCUCCUCUCCUGAGGCCAGGCUUCCGUCUGAAGGUUCCAGCAGGGUUCUGAAAGCAAACAUAUGAGGGUGGAAGCACUGGGUUACUUGGACACUGACCCAUCCUCUCCAGAGCCUCUAGGGGUCUCACUGGGAACAGGCACCUGGUGGCCUGUUAGCCCAGCCCAGACCUGCACCCAGACCUGCAGAGUCACAGCCGUGGGGGCUCACGUCCGAGCUUCACCCCUGGACUUGUAGCACUUGGACACCCUCACUGUAAAGAGCUCCUCUGGGGAUCCGCAUGUGUGGCGUGGCUACGAACCCCCGUAUAAAGUUCUAUCUAAAAUUUGCAGGCCCUUCUGAUGGUGGGUUGUAGAAAUGAGUCCAGUUGUGGGUUUUGUCUUUGUAUUUUUUCCCUCUAUGUUCUAAAUUUAUUUUUGUCAUGAGAGUUUUACAAAAAUGACAACAGGACGCAAUUUAUUUUCUAUUCCUUUUUUUUAAAAAAAAGAUUUUAUUUAUUCAUGAGAGACACACAGAGAGAGGCAGAGACGUAGGCAGAGGGAGAAGUAGGCUCCCUGCAGGGAGCCCAAUGUGGGACUCGAUCCUAGGACUCCGGGAUCAUGCUCUGAGCCAAAGGCAGAUGCUCAACCACUGAGCCAUGCAGGUGUCCCUUAUUUUCUAUUCCCAUCUGGAAGAAAAAAAGCCGAGACCCUCAUCACAUGGAAACCUGUAUGCGAAGGCUGGUAGAGGAAUCCCGGUCUUUUGCGGCUCCUGGACACGGCCCUGUUCAGGCCUCCCGGGUCCCGGCCACCAGCGCCGGCUCAGACAUUGCCACUCCUGGGGGCUUCCUUAGCAAAUGCCUGGUCCCCUCCCUGCCAGCAAGUGUCACAUCCCACGACACUGAAGGCAAAGGGACUCCUGGUAGCUGACACCACAGCUUUCUCAGCAGGGCCUGCCCAGGCACCUCUGCCUGUUUUGGGCACCUGGUGUGUCCCCAGGCUCACAUGAGCCCUUCUCGUUCCCACCGUCCGUGCUCCCUUUUCUCCAAUGCUUGUCCAACCUGGGCUCAUGUAUGCAUCAUGGCCUCUGGACUGGCACCCCCACGGGUGUGUCGGGGGGAGGGGGCAGGAAGAGCAGCUCUCCCCUCAUGGCUGGUCAGGAUGGGUGCUGCGGUGGGCAGGAGGAGCCUGGAUGGGCUCCUGAUCCAUCCUGGGAUGUGGUGAGAUCGGGGAAGGCCGUUCGGAAGAGGAGACGUCUGAGCUGGGUGUCAGGGGCUCGGCCGGGCACAGAGCGAGGUGGGCAGGCUGCCCUCAGUCCACAGAGCUUCAGCGCCGUUGAGGAAACAGCAGCCAGCUGGGGAAGGAGAGAGGUUUAGGAGAGGAGGUGAGAGAAGGGAGCGGGAGCUGGAGACCGGGCCCCUAGUGGAUCCCCUCAGGACCCCGUGCCCUGUGCAGAGGGUCCCCGUGCCACGCGCCUCCGAUUUGCCUGUGGGCCUGGGGAUAGCUGCGGAGUGGCUGGGGGGCUGUUCAACUCCCCCGGCUCGGAGGCAGUGAGCCCGGGUGGCCUUCCACCCACUACGGGCGUGAGGGACAGGUGGGCUGUUGCCAUGGGCGUCAGGAGGAAACCCCUGGUGGCUCAAACGAGUCUCAAGGGUGGGAUGCCAGCCAGAAGCUGGGGAGGUGUUUGGCACAUGGUUUCUCCAGCUGCCCUGGAAGGUCAUGCGCCCUCCCCACUCUUGACCCUGCUCUAGAGGCCAGUGAUGCUCAGGGGCCGGGCUCCCCCAUCCCGAGGAAUCCCUGUGGCCCUUCGGGGCUGAGCGUGGCAUUCCCGGCGCUGGCUGCGCCCCAGAAGGUGGUGGUGAGAAAACUCGA